UACAGAGGGUGCGAGCGUUAAUCGGAAUUACUGGGCGUAAAGGGCUCGUAGGCGGCCAACUAAGUCCGACGUGAAAUCCCCAGGCUUAACCUGGGAACUGCGUCGGAUACUGGAUGGCUUGAAUUCGGGAGAGGGAUGCAGAAUUCCAGGUGUAGCGGUGAAAUGCGUAGAUAUCUGGAGGAAUACCGGUGGCGAAGGCGGCAUCCUGGACCGACAUUGACGCUGAUGAGCGAAAGCUAGGGGAGCAAACGGG
rnacentral:rRNA from 1 species